AGAGUUUGAUCCUGGCUCAGGAUGAACGCUAGCGGCGUGCCUAACACAUGCAAGUCGAACGUGAAGAGGUACUUGUAUCUCUGAAAGUGGCGGACGGGUGAGUAAGACGUAGGUGACCUGCCUCGGAGUGGGGGAUAACCAUUGGAAACGAUGGCUAAUACCGCAUGACGUUGUUGGAUUGGGAAAUUUGACAACCAAAGCUCAGGCGCUUGGAGAGGGGCCUACGGCCGAUUAGCUAGUUGGUGGGGUAAUGGCCUACCAAGGCGAUGAUCGGUAGCUGGUCUGAGAGGACGAUCAGCCACACGGGAACUGAGACACGGUCCCGACUCCUACGGGGGGCAGCAGUGAGGAAUAUUCGGCAAUGGGGGGAACCCUGACCGAGCAACGCCGCGUGGAGGAUGACGGUUUUCGGAUUGUAAACUCCUUUUCUGGGGGAAGAGACAGGACGGUACCCCAGGAAUCAGUCACGGCUAACUACGUGCCAGCAGCCGCGGUAAUACGUAGGUGGCAAGCGUUAUCCGGAAUUAUUGGGCGUAAAGCGCACGCAGGUGGCUGCUUAAGUCUGACGUGAAAGCUCCUGGCUUAACUGGGAGAGGUCGUUGGGUACUGGGCGGCUUGAGGCAAGGAGAGGGGCGUAGAAUUCCCGGUGUAGUGGUGGAAUGCGUAGAUAUCGGGAGGAAUACCAGAGGCGCAAGCGGCGCCCUGGCCUUGGCCUGACGCUCAGGUGCGAAAGCGUGGGGAGCGAACGGGAUUAGAUACCCCGGUAGUCCACGCCAUAAACGAUGAAUACUAGGUGUAGGGG
rnacentral:rRNA from 1 species